AUAGGCCGGGAUCGCCCCCCGCCAGCGAGGAUUCGCCCGCGGGGGCAUUUUUG
rnacentral:sRNA from 1 species